ACGGAAUAGAUACCCAGGUAGUCCCAGCUGUAAACGAUGCAGACUAGGUGUUUGGACGGCCACGUGCCGUUCUAGUGCCGCAGGGAAGCUGUUAAGUCUGCCGCCUGGGGAGUACGAUCGCAAGAUUGAAACUUAAAGGAAUUGGCGGGGGAGCACCACAAGGGGUGAAGCUUGCGGUUUAAUUGGAGUCAACGCCGGAAAUCUCACCGGGAGCGACAGCAGUAUGAAAGCCAGAUUGAAGGUCUUGCUAGACGAGCUGAGAGGAGGUGCAUGGCCGUCGCCAGUUCGUGCCGUGAGGUGUCCUGUUAAGUCAGGCAACGAUCGAGACCCGCGUCCUCUGUUGCAACCAGCUUUGUGCUGGGCACACUGAGGAGACCGCCACUGAUAAAGUGGAGGAAGGAGCGGGCCACGGCAGGUCAGUAUGCCCCGAAUCUCCCGGGCCACACGCGAGCUGCAAUGGCAAGUACAAUGGGUUCCGACCUCGAAAGGGGGAGGCAAUCUCGAAAGCUUGCCGUAGUUGGAAUU
rnacentral:rRNA from 1 species